rnacentral:rRNA from 1 species
UACGAAGGGGGCUAGCGUUGCUCGGAAUCACUGGGCGUAAAGGGCGCGUAGGCGGCGUUUUUAAGUCGGGGGUGAAAGCCUGUGGCUCAACCACAGAAUUGCCUUCGAUACUGGGACGCUUGAGUGUGGUAGAGGUUGGUGGAACUGCGAGUGUAGAGGUGAAAUUCGUAGAUAUUCGCAAGAACACCAGUGGCGAAGGCGGCUUACUGGUCCAUAACUGACGCUGAGGUGCGAAAGCGUGGGGAGCAAACAGGG